rnacentral:rRNA from 1 species
UGGGGAAUAUUGGACAAUGGGCGCAAGCCUGAUCCAGCCAUGCCGCGUGAGUGAUGAAGGCCCUAGGGUUGUAAAGCUCUUUCACCGGUGAAGAUAAUGACGGUAACCGGAGAAGAAGCCCCGGCUAACUUCGUGCCAGCAGCCGCGGUAAUACGUAUGUUGCGAGCGUUAUCCGGAAUUAUUGGGCUUAAAGGGCAUCUAGGCGGUAAGACAAGUUGAAGGUGAAAACCUGUGGCUCAACCAUAGGCUUGCCUACAAAACUGUUGAACUAGAGUACUGGAAAGGUGGGCGGAACUACACGAGUAGAGGUGAAAUUCGUAGAUAUGUGUAGGAAUGCCGAUGAUGAAGAUAACUCACUGGACAGAAACUGACGCUGAAGUGCGAAAGCUAGGGGAGCAAACAGG